CCUACGGGAGGCAGCAGUGAGGAAUAUUGGUCAAUGGGCGUAAGCCUGAACCAGCCAAGUCGCGUGAGGGAUGAAGGUUCUAUGGAUCGUAAACCUCUUUUAUAAGGGAAUAAAGUGUGGGACGUGUCCUAUUUUGUAUGUACCUUAUGAAUAAGGAUCGGCUAACUCCGUGCCAGCAGCCGCGGUAAUACGGAGGAUCCGAGCGUUAUCCGGAUUUAUUGGGUUUAAAGGGUGCGUAGGCGGCCUUUUAAGUCAGCGGUGAAAGUGUGGGGCUCAACCAUAGAAUUGCCGUUGAAACUGGGGGGCUUGUGUAUGUUUGAGGCAGGCGGAAGGCGUGGUGUAGCGGUGAAAUGCUUAGAUAGCACGCAGAACCCCGAUUGCGAAGGCAGCCUGCCAAGCCAUGACUGACGCUGAUGCACGAAAGCGUGGGGAUCAAACAGGAUUAGAUACCCUUGUAGUC
rnacentral:rRNA from 1 species